AUUUGAUCCUCAAAUUUUUAUGGGCUUUAAGCAAAUUAGGUUUAGUCAUCUUCUUCCUUCGAUAUUCUCUGUCUCGCAGCCGUAAGUUCUAUGGAACUUAAUACCGAUUAGCUAACCCUUACGUCUUCAGUUUGCAUUAAAAUGUACUUUAUUCCUAGCUUUUACGUGGUUAACCCACUCAUGAAGCAUUCAAUCGACUCAUCGAUUUCCAAAGUAACCAACUAAAGCAACGAGUAUAAAUACACCAACUUCCAGCGAUGAACAGCAUAACUACAACAAGCUCUACAAGGAUAGUUUGUUCAGCUUACCAAUUACGACAACGGCGAAUUCCUACAUCCUUGGGAGCUGCUCCAACACGUUGAGACCAUGGAAAGAACAUGGGAAAAGAUCCAAUUUUAUUCAUCUUUUUACUCAACGCCGAUUUGUUUGGUGGUAGAGGAGGACAUCUACUCUUCUUUGCUGUUUAAAAUCAAUCUAGAUCUGAACCUCUCCAGCGUAUCCUAGCAGAUUCCGAAGACUUUAAAAUCACAUCAGAGCCUGAGGUUGCGAUUACACCAAGUUUGCAGCUUCAGAUGAUCAUUGUCUCCGUUCUUUAAACAUGGGAUGACAGAGUAUGUCAUCGGAGAUUUCAUCAAUAUAUUUGGAAGCGUAGCUAUUAAUUUUGGCACAAACCUUCUCAAAUUGAGACCUAAUCAAGUUUGCAUUUGCCUCAGUCAGUACCAUUUGGUUGCAUUUGUCCUUCUGAGCCUUACUCUGUUGGUUUUGUGUAUUAUCAGAGAGAGAGAGGUUAGCUUUACAGAAUAAUGGUGGAGGAGAAACGCAAUUGAUGCCGCAUAUACAGUUUCAGACAUGGAUAGUUAAUAGCAACUGUUGAUAAGAUUAAAAGGUCAAGAAAAAAAAGUAUAGGAUGAGAACAAGUGAGGAACCGCCAGUAUGUGUGACAUGCUUUUCAUAGCAACGUCGCACUCCUUGCCAAAUUCAUCUUCUCUCUUGACCUGAGCUAAGGUUCAUAAAUCAAAUGAAAAAUAUGAAGGUAGCUACUUGACUCCAUGUUCAAGUAAUGGUGGAUAAGUAUGAAGUCAGCUGUGAUGGUAUGAAAGGAUACUUGACUCCAUGGGCCUAUAUUCAGGUCUCCAGUGAAGGGUAUGGAGGGCAUCUUGACCAACCAACUCAUGUGAGAUCACGGACCUAGAUCAGAGGCUUUUCUAACUUUUAACACCUCAGCUUCCCCGCCCGUCACACUAUGGGAGCUGGCCAUGCGAAUCUUUCUCAGUCUCUCUCGCUCUUCUUCUUCUCCUAUGAUUAUUGUUUCCAGUCUUCACAACAUUUUUUAACUGCGGCACUAAAAGGGUUUUACUUAAACCAAACUUUGUA